ACGGAAUGUUUGUUAUUAUAAACGCCUACAACCGCUGAUUAGAACUUAAAUAAGAAAUGAUGCAUUAACCAAGCUGACACCCCUAAUCUUAGCGUAUUAUGAAAUGGACGCGUCGAUUCAAUUACACAUGACUGGUCCACGACUACUGAGACUUGCGUUUAUGAUUCGAAGAGUGAAAACGGAUACCAGUCGACUACAUACACACGCGUUUGUUUAUUCCUUUGUGUGUUGGAAAUUAUUGAUGGUCCUUCUGUCACUGUCCGUAAUUUAGCGAUUUGCCAAGCAAGCAGCAGAGGGAGUAGAACAGACCUCUUUUCUCGACUGCAAUGGCUUGGCAUUGGAUGCCCUAAUAAGAAGAUUGACUUGACUUUUUAAUGCGAUUCCGUGUAUCACACAACUUACAAGACAAUAUGUUUCAUUAUAUAUCUAUGGUCAUAUUUAGGAUACAUGUUAAUGACCAUUGUAAGAUUGUGUGUAACAUACAAGACUUGGGCCACUUGCAUCAAGGUCAAGUUCAGAUAUAGAAUUCAGCUGCAUACAGUCUACCACAUAGCUACUAAACCCUAUGAAAGGAGCUGUCAGUAUUUCCAUGGUGCAGCUAUCACCAGAUUCAAAAUGGAAACAGAUGGUGAGUCUCAAGCAAAAAAGAAAAGUGGACCUCUCCUAACAACUUAAAAGGAGAACAUUAUCUUGCAUAGCAUUUUUCUCCGAAGGGAGCACAUUGUGACAAGUAUCCCACUGAAGGCAAGUUCUACAACAAGGAAACGGACUCCACCAAUAUAUCGACGUUCAAAAAGGGCUUAAAUUUGUUUACCGAUCAAAACUAUGCCAUAAGACAUGAAUCACCCUCCAAUUAAAACAAAACAUAUGGAGAAGUCAGUCACUUUCAAAUCAAGUAACAAUUUAAGAUAUGAGACGAUUCUAAUGAUGACAAUGAAUAUCCCCAGGAGAAGUAUAAUGUACUUGAAAAUGUUUAAUGGAAAUAGAGGAAUGUGAAACUUUUUUGUAUUUAUUUGGUGCUCAUGAAGGCUUUGUCAUUGAUAAGGCAGAUAGGUUGAUUUAAAUUUCUUUGUUUUCAACAAAGAGAAAAGUUGAAAAGAAAAGCAUUAUAGGAGUACUAAAAGAUGUUAUAGAAAUAUUUGAGAUAGAAUGUAAAAACUCGCCCUUCUUCGGGUCUGCUAAUUUAGGGCUAAAAUAAAAUAAAAACAUAUAAUCGACUUCUUUUCGUGAAUUGAUUGAUGGAUUUUUGUCUGUAGCAUUAUUAUAAGGUCCUUGCAUUAAACACGGUUGGGGUUAUAGGAAUGGUCUCCUUCUGACAUAUAUGAGCCAUAUAACUCAAACCUAGACUAAAAGAUUUUUAGCUAACCUUAGCACGAAGUGCUCAAAGUUGAGCUUUUGUGAUCGCCCUGUGUCUGUCGUCGUCAACAAUUUGACUGUUAACACUAGAAGUCACAAUUUUGGUCUAAUCUUAAUGGAACUUG
rnacentral:lncRNA from 1 species